ACCAAACAACCCCUUACCCCUCCCAUCUUCCCAAACCCUAGCCGCCAGGAGAGGAUUUCCUCUCUCCUCAUCACCACCACUAAUUUUGGCAAAUUUUCAGGCAAGAAAAGGCUUUUGCCAGGUCUGUGUGACCACAUAAGGCAAAGCAUUUAUUUUUUCCGCCAUUUUUCACCAAACUCAACACCAAACACGAUAUAUUUCUUCAUCUCUCUCUAUUUCUUUUACUUUUUUGUGCAUCAACAGUCAAGUGGACUGAAUUUCUUAAUGGGUUUUGUUGUUACUCGAAUUUGAAUCCACGAAUUUCAUUGGUUCAUGAAGAUCCAAGUGGAUCGAUCGACUGAGGGCACAAUAUGACCUUUUAUUUGUUUCCUACGUUUAAUCUCAACCCUUCAAUGAUUGAAUGUGAGGAAGAAAUUCAAAAUUUGUGACUUGUCCCACAUCGGCUGAAAUUAGUGUUUUACUUCAAUUUGGGGUCUAUAAAUAGAACCCCCAAUUCAGUUUUGGACCAAAACGGAAUAUCUCACAUGCUCACAAAAAUUCGAAAAUACCUAGGGUUUCUAGCAAGUUGUUUAAGACCUUUAAUUUUUUGGGUUAAGUUAAAUUUUAAAGUUUUAAUUGUUGUUUUCUUGUUAAUUCUGGCUGAGUACUGGGAAUAAGAGGCAACAAAGCUCUUCCAAGUUCAAUCUCGACCUAACGCUGCUCAUAUAAGAGGAUAGGAAACAUUGAGAGAAUUGGAAAUAACCCCUGGGAGAGUAAUCUUGUAACACAUUUUGAAGUGCUUUUGGAUCAAAGGCAGAUGGUGGUGUGUUCUCUGCUCGACUCAUAUAAGCUUCGACUGCUUGAUAACCUUUGUACUUGGUUUCACGCGUGUUUGGCGUGGAUUGCACUCCAUAAUUAUAUGGCCAGGCUUCUUGCAAUAAUUGCAUAUAUUUCUCUUCUCAAUGUGACGCGAUAUGACCAUACUCUUUGUACUCAAAGCGUUGUGAUCUAGACUUUUGAGUA